rnacentral:rRNA from 1 species
UCGGCUUAGAGUUUGAUCAUGGCUCAGAUUGAACGCUGGCGGCAGGCUUAACACAUGCAAGUCGAACGGUAAAGUAGCUUGCUACUUACGAGUGGCGGACGGGUGAGUAGCGUAUGGGAAUUUACCGAAUGGAGGGGGACAACAGUUGGAAACGGCUGCUAAUACCGCAUAACGUCGAGAGACCAAAGGGUUUCGACUUGCCAUUUGAUGAGCCCAUAUGAGAUUAGCUAGUUGGUGUGGUAAUGGCUCACCAAGGCGACGAUCUCUAGCUGGUUUGAGAGGAUGACCAGCCACACUGGGACUGAGACACGGCCCAGACUCCUACGGGAGGCAGCAGUGGGGAAUAUUGCACAA